rnacentral:tmRNA from 1 species
GGGGGCGACCUGGCUUCGACGGGGAUCGCGAAACCCAAGGGGCAUGCCGAGGGGCAGAAAACCUCGUAAAUCCAGCUGCAAAACCAUAGUUGCCAACGACGACAACUACGCACUAGCUGCUUAAAAACCAGCCUAGCGCCCUCAGACUGCGGCAGUGCCUAUGCUCUGCAGAUCCUGGGGUCGACUCUCAUAGGAUCGCGAUGAUGCCCGUCCGGGGCGGAUUCGUUAAAACCUUACCGGACUCGCCGCCU